rnacentral:sRNA from 1 species
AUGGAUGGCCUGGAGACUGAAGUCUUCUAUGUACUCACAGAACAGGUAUAACUUUAGUGGCAGCAGUGCAAUCUUCCCAGCUAACUGCCCUGCCAAAGUGCCUCCUGCCUGACCCAGGAAAGGUGCAAGCGGGGAGUUUAUUCUCAGUAGUAUGGCAAAACUUUUUUUUC